CUCCAAGUUGUUGCCUGCACUGAACAAUCCUGGAAGAGGCAGUGGACGGCACCAUAAUGCAAAAGAAGCCCCAACAGAUUGAAGGCUUGGAAGGAAAAGAGAAAGAAAGACAGAAAGAGUGCUCCAAGGAUCUUCCUAAAGUAGCUCCCACCAUUAUAGCACGCCAGAAGAGAUUACUCUUGUUGAGGACAUCUGCUCAGUCAGUACGUCGCUGAAGCCAGGAUGGAGCAGCCAGGGUUGAGGAAUCGGGUCAGCAGCUCAGCUGAGAGAUGGACGGUGUUAUCAGCAGGGCCAGAAGCCAAAUACAACAGGACAAGGCCGUCCUGCACAGCUCCUUUCCUUCUUGUCGCCAUAGGGAUGCUGGGAAUGGAGACCCUGCACUCACCGACCCAGAUCGCCAUCGGCUUCUGCACGGCACGCCCACCUCAUACCUCUUCUCAGG